AUGGAUAAUUUCGGCGGUUCUUGACACGUCCCUGUUUCCUUCCCAAUCCACCUCCCCAUUAAAUCACUUUUCUCCACCACAACCUGGAUUUCUCCCCCGCCACCAAACGAUGGAGGCUGAUGAAGCUCAGAGAUCCGAAGCGGUUAUCGACUGCUAGGGUUCUGCUGCGAACCCGAUGACGGAGGUGAUUUUGGGGUUCUCUCCAACGGCCGAUAUACCCUUGCAUGCACCGUUUUUACCAGAUCGGUCAGAGCUUUGUAAUGGUCGACGAUUCUGCAAGCUUGAAGUGGUUUUCGACGGAGAUAAGUCCCACUGAUUUUGCUGGAGGAUAUCGUCUUGCUGUUCACGGGUGAAGGAUAAGCUCGAGAAAUUGAUGGUUGCUAACAAAGAAUCUGGUAAGAGUAUUGAGAGUUAGGUUCGAACGAGCUCGGGCAUGUUUCUUAACAAAGCUCAGAUACAUGGCAAAGGUAGGAACCAAGAUGAGAGUAUGCUCUACGUGUGGUGGCAGAGGUCAAGUUAUGAGAUCCAAGAUUUGUGAUGAAUUCCCCUCCCAAGAUUUGUGUUGAAUUCCCCUCUUGCUAUAAACUAUAUCAUGAUAACACGGCCACAUACAUAUUGUAAAUUGCGCAACGUGCGACAAUGAGUAACACAAUACAUAUUGUAAAUCGCGCAACGCGCGACAAUGAAUAACCCUAGUUAAUAUAAUUAAGAAGUUGAAAUGAAUAGUCAUUUAAAUAUUAUAAUAAUAUAUAGCUUUUUUUUAAUACUUUUAUUAUUAUAAUAUUAUAAUAUAAUAAUAGUUUUUUUCUUUAUUUUUUAACUAUAAUAUAUUUUUUAAUAUUAGGCGUUGGGAUAAGCUUGGUGUGAACCGGUAUUGAACGGGUAUUUUUUAACUAUAAUAUAUUUUUUUCUUUUUUAGUUUCAGGGGUAGGGAUGGGCUCAGUGUCAACCGAUACAGAAUCGGUACUGAUACCAAAAAUAUCGGUUAAGGUACCGGUAUAUGAAGGUAAAAAACGGUAGUGAACCGGUACACAGAACAAUUUGCUCAUCUCUGACCACAGGUUUCAUGCGAACAACAUCGUUACCAUACAAUUUUUUUGGUUGAUUUUUUUCGGUUAUCUUUUAGUGUUUUUUUCUACAUUUUCUUUUUAUUCUUGUCAGCAAUUCUGUUCGCAACACGCUCGUAGUGAUUUCAAAACACAUCUAAACACAGACUAAAUAAAAAAAGAAAUUCGCCGCAACGCGGCGAACUUCUUUAAACCUAGUUUUAUUAGAAGUAAGGGUAAUUUAGUAAUUUCAUACUAAAUUAACUGAGCAAACUAAUAGAUAUUUACUCAAGGGACUAUCCAAGUAAUAAACGACCAAACCAUAGGAAGUAAGCAUACUAUUUCAAAAAACUGAGGUCUAAAUGUGAAAAAAAGGCAAACCAUAGAGACCAUCCGAGCAAUUAAAUUAACUAUGGAAACAUUAAAGCAGAGUCCCCAACAAAAACAAGCAUAAAGUAACUCUAUUCUGGUGUAUGCUUCUGUUCGUCAAUGUCGCUGGUGGCAGCUGGUUAGUUGGUCGCCAGUUUGCUUAUCAAAUAACCAACCUUAGGUAUUCUCUUUUCCAUACCGAUUACUUUUCAUAAACACCUUGUUCAUUACUGGGUUUGGGUAAUUU
rnacentral:lncRNA from 1 species